GACUAAUGUUGAAAAAUUAGCGGAUGACUUGUGGCUGGGGGUGAAAGGCCAAUCAAACCGGGAGAUAGCUGGUUCUCCCCGAAAGCUAUUUAGGUAGCGCCUCGUGAAUUCAUCUCCGGGGGUAGAGCACUGUUUCGGCAAGGGGGUCAUCCCGACUUACCAACCCGAUGCAAACUGCGAAUACCGGAGAAUGUUAUCACGGGAGACACACGGCGGGUGCUAACGUCCGUCGUGAAGAGGGAAACAACCCAGACCGCCAGCUAAGGUCCCAAAGUCAUGGUUAAGUGGGAAACGAUGUGGGAAGGCCCAGACAGCCAGGAUGUUGGCUUAGAAGCAGCCAUCAUUUAAAGAAAGCGUAAUAGCUCACUGGUCGAGUCGGCCUGCGCGGAAGAUGUAACGGGGCUAAACCAUGCAC
rnacentral:rRNA from 1 species